rnacentral:tRNA from 1 species
AAGAUAAUAAAAAUUGAAUUUCUAAUUCUAAUUUUAAAUAUUUAAAUAUUUUUAUCUUU